rnacentral:lncRNA from 1 species
GAGUACUGGGUUGUCCGCGGGCCAGAGACGGUCAGGCUCGCUCUACCGCUCUCAGGCACCUGCCUUUCUCUGCGUUCCGGAAUGCGGCCAAGACCGAAUAAAGGAAAUUACAUAGUAAGCGGAGAUCGGGUGUCUGAGCAGCGCCUUGGAUCAAAUCCACUCAUGACAGGCAAAGAAAAGGAAAAAUGACAGAAGGAAAAAAUACAGGUGACGCGAAACAAAGAAUUAAAGGCAACCAAAAAAGGCUCAGACCAAGGAGUGAGAUGUCUGAAGAAGAGAUCCUCCAGAAUGCAGGAACUCCAGACAGGGAAUAGCUUGUGGACUUUUCGUGGUGAUAGACAAUCAAUCAAAACAGGAGAAUCGUUACACUUCAGCAGUUGCUGAGGCCAUGUGCCUUCAUUUUUGUCUUUAGAGACCUACAUUACAGGUCUUAAGCACCUAAUGUUCCCAAGUAGAAAUAUGGCACUCUGAUAGCAUUCAAAAGAAGAUUUAUAUUACUAUAUACAUUUAAUGGAUUUUAAACAGACUCCAUAGAUUUUAAAGCAUUUUUUCACCAUAGAUUAUGUUUACCAUCUGUAAUUUAUAUUCAUCGAUAAAAACUAAUCGAUCUCCAA